UAUUGGUCUGCUGUACCUAAUCUCCACUGAAUAUUAUGACAAGUUGCUGCCCCUUCUCCCCAGCAGCUACUGACAAAUGAAGGAUUUCCCAGAAUCAGUCAAGGAGAUACAGUACCUCAUUUCCUACCCAAGGAGUCAUCUUUCAGACAGCAGUACGGAACAGGGCAAUGGUGACUGACAAUCUCAAGUUGAAAGCCAAUCCAGGGGGAGAAGGAGACGGGACCAUCAGCGCAGCAGUUCAAGCAAAACACCAACCCUGCAUUCAACAGCAGAGCACUAUCUCCUGGCGUUCCAGAACAUGUUAGCAGUUAUUGAACAGUGCGUCAGGAGCAAGCACUUUCACAACAGCAGGCAACAAAGUGCUGUGUAUUAAAAACAGUUGCUUUAAGCAAGUUUUGCAAUUUUUGUAUAUAUUUUUAAAUGUAAUUACUACUACUGUACUGUAUUUUUUAAUGUAAAGUUACUUUUUUUUUUUUUUUUUUUUUGGUUUAGGCGCGAGUCAUAUUCAUCAAGUUAUAAAUAGUCCCUCCUUGUUGUCUCACUGUGUUUAAUUUCUUCUAUCUUUCACAUGCUGCGACAAACAUAUUGGACAUUUCCCUUUGACUCAUCAUGAUAUCAGGAAUAUCAUAUUAUAAAAAUAAUAGAAUGCAAUGUAAUUCUAUGUUAUCGAUAUAAUCACUAGACAGCAACGACUUCAACCAUCUUAUAUGUGUCUGGGGCGGGGUCAA